GCCGGGAUAGCUCAGUGGUAGAGAGGCGCUUUCGUAAAGCGCGGGUCGGGGGUUCGACUCCCUCUCCCGGCUCCA
rnacentral:tRNA from 1 species